CCUACGGGUUGCAGCAGUGGGAAAUAUUGCACAAUGGGCGCAAGCCUGAUGCAGCCAUGCCGCGUGUGUGAAGAAGGCCUUCGGGUUGUAAAGCACUUUCAGCGGGGAGGAAGGCGUUAAGGUUAAUAACCUUGGCGAUUGACGUUACCCGCAGAAGAAGCACCGGCUAACUCCGUGCCAGCAGCCGCGGUAAUACGGAGGGUGCAAGCGUUAAUCGGAAUUACUGGGCGUAAAGCGCACGCAGGCGGUCUGUCAAGUCGGAUGUGAAAUCCCCGGGCUCAACCUGGGAACUGCAUCUGAUACUGGCAAGCUUGAGUCUCGUAGAGGGGGGUAGAAUUCCAGGUGUAGCGGUGAAAUGCGUAGAGAUCUGGAGGAAUACCGGUGGCGAAGGCGGCCCCCUGGACGAAGACUGACGCUCAGAUGCGAAAGCGUGGGGAGCAAACAGGAUUAGAUACCCUAGUAGUC
rnacentral:rRNA from 1 species